GUGGGGAAUCUUAGACAAUGGGCGCAAGCCUGAUCUAGCCAUGCCGCGUGAGCGAUGAAGGCCUUAGGGUUGUAAAGCUCUUUCGUGGGGGAAGAUAAUGACUGUACCCCAAGAAGAAGCCCCGGCUAACUCCGUGCCAGCAGCCGCGGUAAUACGGAGGGGGCUAGCGUUGUUCGGAAUUACUGGGCGUAAAGCGCACGUAGGCGGACUGGAAAGUCAGGGGUGAAAUCCCGGGGCUCAACCCCGGAACUGCCUUUGAAACUCCCAGUCUUGAGUUCGAGAGAGGUGAGUGGAAUUCCGAGUGUAGAGGUGAAAUUCGUAGAUAUUCGGAGGAACACCAGUGGCGAAGGCGGCUCACUGGCUCGAUAGUGACGCUGAGGUGCGAAAGCGUGGGGAGCAAACAGGAUUAGAUACCCGAGUAGUCC
rnacentral:rRNA from 1 species